rnacentral:rRNA from 1 species
GUCUUAAUUGGGCGUUAAGUUGCAGGGUAUAGACCCGAAACCCGGUGAUCUAGCCAUGGGCAGGUUGAAGGUUGGGUAACACUAACUGGAGGACCGAACCGACUAAUGUUGAAAAAUUAGCGGAUGACCUGUGGCUGGGGGUGAAAGGCCAAUCAAACCGGGAGAUAGCUGGUUCUCCCCGAAAGCUAUUUAGGUAGCGCCUCGUGAAUUCAUCUCCGGGGGUAGAGCACUGUUUCGGCUAGGGGGCCAUCCCGGCUUACCAACCCGAUGCAAACUGCGAAUACCGGAGAAUGUUAUCACGGGAGACACACGGCGGGUGCUAACGUCCGUCGUGAAGAGGGAAACAACCCAGACCGCCAGCUAAGGUCCCAAAGUCAUGGUUAAGUGGGAAACGAUGUGGGAAGGCCCAGACAGCCAGGAUGUUGGCUUAGAAGCAGCCAUCAUUUAAAGAAAGCGUAAUAGCUCACUGGUCGAGUCGGCCUGCGCGGAAGAUGUAACGGGGCUAAACCAUGCACCGAAGCUGCGGCAGCGACGCUGAUGCGUUGUUGGGUAGGGGAGCGUUCUGUAAGCCUGCGAAGGUGGCCUGUGAGGGUUGCUGGAGGUAUCAGAAGUGCGAAUGCUGACAUAAGUAACGAUAAAGCGGGUGAAAAGCCCGCUCGCCGGAAGACCAAGGGUUCCUGUCCAACGUUAAUCGGGGCAGGGUGAGUCGACCCCUAAGGCGAGGCCGAAAGGCGUAGUCGAUGGGAAACGGGUUAAUAUUCCCGUACUUGGUGUUACUGCGAAGGGGGGACGGAGAAGGCUAUGUUGGCCGGGCGACGGUUGUCCCGGUUUAAGCGUGUAGGUGUGUGUUCCAGGUAAAUCCGGUUCACUUUAACACUGAGGCGUGAUGACGAGGCACUACGGUGCUGAAGCAACAAAUGCCCUGCUUCCAGGAAAAGCCUCUAAGCAUCAGGUAACAUCAAAUCGUACCCCAAACCGACACAGGUGGUCAGGUAGAGAAUACCAAGGCGCUUGAGAGAACUCGGGUGAAGGAACUAGGCAAAAUGGUGCCGUAACUUCGGGAGAAGGCACGCUGACACGUAGGUGAAGUGAUUUACUCAUGGAGCUGAAGUCAGUCGAAGAUACCAGCUGGCUGCAACUGUUUAUUAAAAACACAGCACUGUGCAAACACGAAAGUGGACGUAUACGGUGUGACGCCUGCCCGGUGCCGGAAGGUUAAUUGAUGGGGUCAGCGCAAGCGAAGCUCCUGAUCGAAGCCCCGGUAAACGGCGGCCGUAACUAUAACGGUCCUAAGGUAGCGAAAUUCCUUGUCGGGUAAGUUCCGACCUGCACGAAUGGCGUAAUGAUGGCCAGGCUGUCUCCACCCGAGACUCAGUGAAAUUGAACUCGCUGUGAAGAUGCAGUGUACCCGCGGCAAGACGGAAAGACCCCGUGAACCUUUACUAUAGCUUGACACUGAACAUUGAGCCUUGAUGUGUAGGAUAGGUGGGAGGCUUUGAAGUGUGGACGCCAGUCUGCAUGGAGCCGGCCUUGAAAUACCACCCUUUAAUGUUUGAUGUUCUAACGUGGACCCGUGAUCCGGGUUGCGGACAGUGUCUGGUGGGUAGUUUGACUGGGGCGGUCUCCUCCUAAAGAGUAACGGAGGAGCACGAAGGUUGGCUAAUCCUGGUCGGACAUCAGGAGGUUAGUGCAAUGGCAUAAGCCAGCUUGACUGCGAGCGUGACGGCGCGAGCAGGUGCGAAAGCAGGUCAUAGUGAUCCGGUGGUUCUGAAUGGAAGGGCCAUCGCUCAACGGAUAAAAGGUACUCCGGGGAUAACAGGCUGAUACCGCCCAAGAGUUCAUAUCGACGGCGGUGUUUGGCACCUCGAUGUCGGCUCAUCACAUCCUGGGGCUGAAGUAGGUCCCAAGGGUAUGGCUGUUCGCCAUUUAAAGUGGUACGCGAGCUGGGUUUAGAACGUCGUGAGACAGUUCGGUCCCUAUCUGCCGUGGGCGCUGGAGAACUGAGGGGGGCUGCUCCUAGUACGAGAGGACCGGAGUGGACGCAUCACUGGUGUUCGGGUUGUCAUGCCAAUGGCACUGCCCGGUAGCUAAAUGCGGAAGAGAUAAGUGCUGAAAGCAUCUAAGCACGAAACUUGCCCCGA